UUGUGAUAAUACCUCCUCCCACCGCAAGCAAGCGUGUACGCGUGCGCGCGCGCACGCGCGCACACACACACACACACACACACACACACACACACACACAUUCCAAGCAAACCCCUGGAGGCAGUUUGCAACCCUGGAAGACUACUGGUAUGGACGGUUUGGGAGGUCUGCCAAGGCAGGUCCUCUUAUGCUGAGCGUUCACAUCCCAGUCCAUGCACGUCCCCUCUAGGGAUCUACUUCAUGGCCAUUGUCCCCAUGUCAUUUGAAAGCAUCCUCAGUCUUUCUCCCCUCCUACAACACAUUGGCCUGCAAAGUGCAUAUUCUUCAGAUAAAACAGCAUUGGAAUCUCGCUCUGCUAUUCACAUGCUGUGUGGCCUUGGUAAAUCUCUUAACCUCUCUGAGUCUCAGUGUCAGCCUAUAUAAAAAGGAGCAUGACCACCUCGCAAAGCUGCCAAGAUUAAAGAGGUAACAUACAUCAGAGCG
rnacentral:lncRNA from 1 species